GUGAGUAUAGCUCAACAGUAGAACGCAUGUUUAACAUGCACAAGGUCCUGGGUUCAAUCCCCAGUUCUUGCA
rnacentral:tRNA from 1 species